UACGGUGGGGGCAAGCGUUGUUCGGAAUUACUGGGCGUAAAGGGCUCGUAGGCGGCCAACUAAGUCAGACGUGAAAUCCCCAGGCUCAACCUGGGAACUGCGUCUGAUACUGGAUGGCUUGAAUCCGGGAGAGGGAUGCAGAAUUCCGGGUGUAGUGGUGGAAUGCGUAGAGAUCCGGAGGAACACCAGCGGCGAAGGCGGCAUCCUGGACUGGUCCUGACACUCAGGAGCGAAAGCGUGGGGAGCGAUCCGG
rnacentral:rRNA from 1 species